rnacentral:rRNA from 1 species
CACGUAGGGUGCAAGCGUUGUCCGGAUUCAUUGGGCGUAAAGGGCUAGUAGGCGGCUUAGCAAGUCGGGUGUGAAAACUUCAGGCUCAACCUGGAGCGGCCAUCCGAUACUGCUAUGGCUAGAGUCCGGUAGGGGACCACGGAAUUCCUGGUGUAGCGGUGAAAUGCGCAGAUAUCGGGAGGAACACCAAUGGCGAAGGCAGCUUGCUGGGACGGUACUGACGCUGAGACGCGAAAGCGUGGGGAGCAAACAGG